AUACGGAGGGUGCAAGCGUUACUCGGAAUCACUGGGCGUAAAGCGCGCGCAGGCGGUCUUUUAAGUUGGAUGUGAAAGCCUACAGCUCAACUGUAGAACUGCAUCCAAAACUAUUAGACUAGAGUCUGGGAGGGGAAGAUGGAAUUAGUUGUGUAGGGGUAAAAUCCGUAGAGAUAACUAGGAAUACCAAAAGCGAAGGCGAUCUUCUGGAACAGUACUGACGCUGAGGCGCGAAAGCGUGGGGAGCAAACAGGAUUAGAAACCCGUGUAGUCC
rnacentral:rRNA from 1 species